CCUACGGGAGGCAGCAGUAAGGAAUAUUGGUCAAUGGCCGAAAGGCUGAACCAGCAACGCCGCGUGGAGGAUGAAGGGCUUUUGCUUGUAAACUCCUUUCGGAGAGGAUAAAUACUCUGGUACGCCAGAGUUUGCUAUAACUCUCGGAAGAAGCCCCGGCUAACUACGUGCCAGCAGCCGCGGUAAUACGUAGGGGGCGAGCGUUGUCCGGAUUUACUGGGUGUAAAGGGUGCUCAGGCGGGUCUGUAAGUCAGGGGUGAAAUCCCAGAGCUUAACUCUGGAACUGCCUUUGAAACCGCAAAGCGUGAGGGCAGGAGAGGGAAGCGGAAUUCCCGGUGGAGUGGUGAAAUGCGUAGAUAUCGGGAGGAACACCGGAGGCGAAGGCGGCUUCCUGGACUGUCCCUGACACUGAAACACGAAAGCUAGGGGAGCAAACGGGAUUAGAUACCCUGUAGU
rnacentral:rRNA from 1 species